AGUGAACGCUGGCGGUAGGCCUAACACAUGCAAGUCGAACGGCAGCACAGUAAGAGCUUGCUCUUACGGGUGGCGAGUGGCGGACGGGUGAGGAAUACAUCGGAAUCUACUUUUUCGUGGGGGAUAACGUAGGGAAACUUACGCUAAUACCGCAUACGACCUACGGGUGAAAGCAGGGGAUCUUCGGACCUUGCGCGAUUGAAUGAGCCGAUGUCGGAUUAGCUAGUUGGCGGGGUAAAGGCCCACCAAGGCGACGAUCCGUAGCUGGUCUGAGAGGAUGAUCAGCCACACUGGAACUGAGACACGGUCCAGACUCCUACGGGAGGCAGCAGUGGGGAAUAUUGGGCAAUGGGCGCAAGCCUGAUCCAGCCAUACUGCGUGGGUGAAGAAGGCCUUCGGGUUGUAAAGCCCUUUUGUUGGGAAAGAAAAGCAGCAGGUUAAUACCCCGCUGUUCUGACGGUACCCAAAGAAUAAGCACCGGCUAACUUCGUG
rnacentral:rRNA from 1 species